AAGACUGUGGGCGCAGGCGCGGCACUGACAGCUGCUGUGUAUCUGCUCCGCAGAGUGUGUUUAACAAUGGCCUGGAAAUCAGGAGGUGCCAGCCACACAGAGCUUGUCAACAACCUCCGCAAAAAUGGGAUCAUCAAGUUGGACAAAGUUUACGAAGUCAUGUUGACGACAGACCGAGGCCACUACUCCAGAUGUAACCCCUAUAUGGAUUCCCCUCAGUCCAUAGGCUAUCAGGCCACCAUCAGCGCUCCACACAUGCAUGCGUAUGCGUUGGAGCUGCUGCAUGACCAGCUGCAUGAGGGUGCCAAGGCCCUGGACGUAGGAUCUGGGAGUGGGAUCCUGUCUGCCUGCUUUGCACGAAUGGUUGGUCCCAAAGGAAAGGUGAUAGGAAUUGAUCACAUCAAGGAACUGGUAGACGAGUCUGUAAACAAUGUGACGAAAGACGACCCUAGCUUGAUAUCAUCGGGCAGAGUGAAGCUAAUAGUGGGAGAUGGGAGGAUGGGUCUGGAGGAGGAGGCGCCCUACGAUGCCAUACAUGUCGGCGCGGCGGCACCCAACGUGCCCCAAGCACUCCUGGACCAGCUGAAGCCGGGCGGGCGACUCAUCCUGCCCGUGGGCCCGGCGGGGGGGAACCAGAUGCUGGAGCAGUACGACAAGCUGGAGGACGGAAGCACCAAGAUGAAGCCUCUGAUGGGGGUGAUUUACGUGCCUUUAACGGACAAAGACAAGCAGUGGUCCAGGUGGAAGUGACUUCCUUCUCCUCCCUUCUCCUCCCUUCUCUGUCCUUCACACAGUGGCAAAGGGAUGAACUUUGAAGUGGGAGACUGUCAGUGUUCUAGAGUUAACCAGGAGGGAGCAUUGGGUUCCAACAACCAUUGGAUUUUUUUUUUUUUCUUUUUUCAAAACCAACCAGUGAUUAUUUUUCCUUUAACUCUAAUUUGGGAUUAGAGCAUCAUGCAGAGGAAAAACCUGGAGAUCUGGGGGGGGCGGGGAAAGACUGCUUUAGAUUGACCAUAGAAUUAUUUGUGAAUUUUUUUGUUAAGGGGAACGUUGUUUUUUCCAGACUUGCUUUUUCAGAUUUUGAGUUAUCCUUUUGAUUAGCUGGAGGAUUUAUUUUUUCCAGAUUUGUUCGAGUGAGUUGCAAUCAACCAUUGCUAAAUGCAUUUCAGCUGAAUCAGGGCUGAGCUCCAGAAUGAAGAUGCUGUCACCAGGUCAAGCAGAGUCCAGUGUAGAGUCGAUUAGAUAAUUCACCUAGCUGCAGAGCAUGUCUGAAGAUCUAACUGUAGAUAGCUGUAUUGCUCUGUUGACAUAUAUAAGCUUUUCUUUCCGUCUGGCAGUAUUUAAACCAAGGCACAUGCAGGCUGUACACAUCUAAAACACACAAUCCUGUUGGAUAGGCCACACAUGAUGACACUAGUGGUAUAGCAGAUAUACCACUUGGACUGGCCGGUUCGAUAUGACAAGAUGGGAGCGAAUGCCACUCAGUGCUCCGUGACAAGAGCAUGUAUGACACAGACACACAUGCACCAAACAGGGCUAUGCUUUCCACCCUGUGUGUUGCUUUUUCUGCCUCUGGUUUCCAUGACGACAUCUUUUGCAGGUCCUUGAGAUGACUGGUAUAACAUGCAGCAGUCACUGCUCUGCUGAAAUAAACUUCAAUGCAAAGCAAAAACGAA